UACGUAGGGUGCGAGCGUUGUCCGGAAUUAUUGGGCGUAAAGAGCUCGUAGGCGGCUUGUCACGUCGGAUGUGAAAACCCGGGGCUCAACCCCGGGCCUGCAUUCGAUACGGGCAGGCUAGAGUUCGGCAGGGGAGACUGGAAUUCCUGGUGUAGCGGUGAAAUGCGUAGAUAUCUGGAGGAACACCGGUGGCGAAGGCGGCAUCCUGGACCAAUUCUGACGCUGAGGAGCGAAAGCCAGGGGAGCAAACGGG
rnacentral:rRNA from 1 species